AAGCUUGCUUCAAUUGUCGGCGACCGGCGGACGGGUGCGUAACGCGUAUGCAACCUACCCAUAACAGGGGGAUAACACUGAGAAAUUGGUACUAAUACCCCAUAACAUCUCGAGUGGCAUCACUUGGGGUUGAAAGCUUCGGUGGUUAUGGAUGGGCAUGCGUUGUAUUAGCUAGUUGGAGAGGUAACGGCUCACCAAGGCGACGAUACAUAGGGGGACUGAGAGGUUAACCCCCCACAUUGGUACUGAGACACGGACCAAACUCCUACGGGAGGCAGCAGUGAGGAAUAUUGGUCAAUGGACGGAAGUCUGAACCAGCCAUGCCGCGUGCAGGAUGACGGCUCUAUGAGUUGUAAACUGCUUUUGUACGAGGGUAAACCCGAAUACGUGUAUUCGGCUGAAAGUAUCGUACGAAUAAGGAUCGGCUAACUCCGUGCCAGCAGCCGCGGUAAUACGGAGGAUCCAAGCGUUAUCCGGAUUUAUUGGGUUUAAAGGGUGCGUA
rnacentral:rRNA from 1 species